GGGGAAUAUUGGACAAUGGGGGCAACCCUGAUCCAGCAAUGCCGCGUGUGUGAAGAAGGUCUUCGGAUUGUAAAGCACUUUCGACGGGGACGAUGAUGACGGUACCCGUAGAAGAAGCCCCGGCUAACUUCGUGCCAGCAGCCGCGGUAAUACGAAGGGGGCUAGCGUUGCUCGGAAUGACUGGGCGUAAAGGGCGUGUAGGCGGUUUACACAGUCAGAUGUGAAAUCCCCGGGCUUAACCUGGGAGCUGCAUUUGAUACGUGUAGACUAGAGUGUGAGAGAGGGUUGUGGAAUUCCCAGUGUAGAGGUGAAAUUCGUAGAUAUUGGGAAGAACACCGGUGGCGAAGGCGGCAACCUGGCUCAUUACUGACGCUGAGGCGCGAAAGCGUGGGGAGCAAACAGGAUUAGAUACCCUGGUAGUCCACGCUGUAAACGAUGUGUGCUAGAUGUUGGGUAACUUUGUUAUUCAGUGUCGCAGUUAACGC
rnacentral:rRNA from 1 species